GGGGGCGUUUGGAUUGACGAAUUUGUAGAUUCAACGUAAGUCAAGUGUAGUGGUGUUUGAGUUUCCCUGAAGUGUGAUUAUUUUUCUGUUGUUUGUUUUGACGUAACUCGUACCACUGAAAGUUAAAUUCAAUCACUUCUGCUGUUUGUUUUGAUGUAACUUGGUGCUGGUAAAAUUAGUUUUUUGAGUUCCGUUGUUUGUUUUGAUGUAAGUAAGUGGAUCCCAUUAUCUCCUAAAUAUAGUAAUAAAUUUAUCACUAUAAAAUUUAACCUAUUAUAUAAUUAAAUUUUUUAUUAUUAUUUAAAGAUAAUCUUAAUUUAUUAUAAAUAAGGUAAUUCUAACCCAUUAUAAAGAAAGUAGAGUUUAGGUUUUACUGUUUAAUAAAUUGUUUAGAGAAGGUUGAGUGUGGUGGAAGUCGAGUUCGGUACUUUAGAGCCGGAAGUCGAGAGUAGGUGAAGUGGAGCUCUAACGUAACUUGAGUUACAUAAUAUUUUUCACUUACACCAAAACAAAUAACGGAAGUGAUGGAACUUGAGUUCCAUCACUCCACUUACACCAAAACAAACGGGCCCCACUGGUGUUUGGUCUCUAAAACUCAAAUCACAAAGUCUUAGUUCAACCAAUAACAGUUCCUAUUUAGUGUUGUUUCUAAAAUAACUUCUCUGCACUCCAAAAGACGUACGUA
rnacentral:lncRNA from 1 species